rnacentral:rRNA from 1 species
UACGUAGGGGGCUAGCGUUGUCCGGAAUCAUUGGGCGUAAAGCGCGUGUCGGCGGCCCGGUAAGUCCGCUGUGAAAGUCGGGGGCUCAACCCUCGAAAGCCGGUGGAUACUGUCGGGCUAGAGUACGGAAGAGGCGAGUGGAAUUCCUGGUGCAGCGGUGAAAUGCGCAGAUAUCAGGAGGAACACCCAGUGCGAAGGCAGCUCGCUGGGACGUUACUGACGCUGAGACGCGAAAGCGUGGGGAGCAAACAGG